UCUCCCUCUCUCGUUUUGUUAUUUCCUUUUGCGCUAUUUUGAAUGUAAUAGUCGAACAAAUGGCGAUCCUGUAGCCUAAGUGUAUGGUAUAUUAAUGAUCUUGAUAAUGCAACAAAAAAGCUAAAAGCGCGAGAGACUUGAAACUUUAAUCAUUUGAAGCUGAAAGUGACGCUGUUAACGAUCUUGAAUGAAGAGCAAAUGCGAAAUAUGCCGUAUCCAGUCUGCAGAUCUGGUCCUGUGGGCGUCAGUAUCACACAGUGAUCACAGUUCACACCUGCAGUGAAGCCCCUCCCACAACAAUUCACCAAUAAAUACUGGGAAUAUUCCCAUCAUCCUUCAAGAGAAGGACAAACUCCAGGAGUAGCAGCUGAAAUCUGUGCGACUGUUAAAGAUGGAGUUUAUUAAAGAGGAGAUUAAAGAGGAGAUGGAGUUUAUUAAAGAGGAGAUGGAGUUUAUUAAAGUGAAAAUUGAAGACAUGGCUGAUCCAGAACCAUCCAGAAUAAAACAUGAAGAUACUGAGGAACAAAUAGACCAGCUGGAAGUGAAGGAGCAAAGACAGACGCUAAAUGACGAAAAGAAACACUGCGACUUCAAAACUCAAGAAACAAAAGCCAAAAAGCUGCACUCCUGCUCUCAGUGUGGAAAGAGGUUUUCUAAAGCAUCCGGUCUCAGUGUUCAUCUGCUCCAUCACUCUGGAGAAAAACCAUUUAACUGUGAUCAGUGUGGGAAAUAUUUUGUUUCGUCAUCAAAUCUAAACCGACACAUGAAAGUUCAUUCAGGUGUGAAGCCUUAUGUGUGUUCUCUCUGUGGAAAGAGUUUUUCACAACUGAAUAGUUUUAAACAUCACCAGAAAACACAUGAUGAAGUGAGAGAUCAUGUGUGUUGUGACUGUGGAAAGAGCUUUACUAGAUCUGUUUAUCUGAAACAGCACCAAAUAAUUCAUACUGGAGAAAAACCUUACAAGUGCUCAGUUUGUAAUAAGAGUUUUGCUCAAUCCGGACACCUGAAAGAACACGGGAGAGUUCAUACUAGAGAGAGGCCGCACUACUGUACUCAGUGUGAGAAGACUUUCAAAGCUGCAAAAAGUUUAAAAUGUCAUCUCCGCGUUCACUCUGGAGAAAAACCAUUUAACUGUGAUCAGUGUGGGAAAAAGUUCAUUUUGUCAAGACAUCUGAAAAGUCACAUGAUCGUUCAUUCAGAUGAGAAGCCUUAUGUGUGUUCUCUCUGUGGAAAGAGUUUUUCACGGCUGUUCAGUUUUAAACUGCACCAGAAAAUACACAAUGAAGUGAAAGAUCAUGUGUGUUGUGACUGUGGGAAGAGCUUUACCAGAGCUGACUAUCUGAAACAGCACCAAAGAACUCAUAUUGGAGAAAAACCUUACAAGUGCUCAGAUUGUGACAAGAGUUUUGCUUUGCCUGGAUCUCUGAAAGUACAUGAGCGACUUCAUACCGGAGAGAAGCCGUACCACUGUACUCAGUGUGAAAAGACUUUUAACCAUUUAGCAAGCCUUUACAAUCAUAGGAAAAAAUGUUUCAAGUGACCAACAUUUGUUUUCAUGUCAAAUACAAUAAAGUAAAUUGAGAUAAAAUAUGGAGUUUUUCAUAAAAGCACUAUAUCAAAUAGAUAGAUUGGGUUAAUUUGAUGUAAAGAUUGGUUAACUGGAACGAUUUAAAGGGUUACUUAAGCCAAUAAUGAAAAUUCUGUCAUUAAUUACUGACCCUCAUGUUGUUCCAAACCUGUAAGACAAAACACAAAUGAAGAUCUUUACAGCCUAGCUGUUCAUGGCGCUGCUCUGAAUAAGGUCUAGUUCCCUGUUUUCACCUCAUUAAUUAUGGUGAAGUCAUUAGUGUCAACAGGCUGAGGCAACCGCCAAUGCUAUUAUUAUGGAGAAAACUGAUCCUAGACCAGCAGCAAUCAAAAGCCACAGCAGGCAGUGGUUUGAGUUAGAAAUAUUGUCCAGCCUUACACACACACACACACACACACACAAAUUAUUUACCUUUGUGUUUUUUUUUCUUGUUCUGUUUACUGACUUUUAUUUUCUGACUAAUUAUGUUUUAAUGAAACUGAUGGCUGACAAUAAAUCACAUUUAACAUUGAGGUCCAACUUAAUUUACCAAGAUCCGCUCACUUUAAAGUUUCUGGCCUUGCAACUGCUGUAGAUAUCUAUUCAUGUAGGCUCUUCAAAAGAAACCCCUAUAAUUAGGCUGCAAUAACAUAAUAAGGGAGACAUGUAAAAACAACACUGAAACUGUAAUCGAUUCAAGCUGAAUCUAUUAUAAAUUAUUAUUAUAAUAGUGGAUUUGGUCCAUAACUGUGCGAAGAUGUGAUUUACUGAAUGCGGCUCCUUUAAGAAAUAUGACACCGCGCGCACUGAGCAUGCGCAGAAGAAAGAAUUGCGAUAGCCUCUCUAUUAUAGUUUUGUUUUCUUUCUUCUCUCCCUCUCUUUUUGUUGUUUCCUUUAACGCUAUUAUGAAUAUAACACUUGUUGCAUUAAAGAAGAGAAAAGAGACGAUCGAGCGCUGAAACUUUAACCAUUUGAAGCUGAAAGUGACGCGUUAACGAUCAUGAAUGAAGAGCAAAUGUGAAAUAUUUUUUUCCAAAUGCCGCAUUUUUCCAGUCUGCAGAAAUAGCGGCUGAAAUCUGUGAGACUGUUAAAGAUGGAGUUUAUUAAAGAGGAGAUUAAGACAUGACUGAUCCAGAACCAUCCAGAAUAAAACAUGAAGAUACUGAGGAACAAAUAGACCAGCUGGAAGUGACGGAACAAAGACAGAAACUAAAUUACGUAAAGAAACACUGUGACUUCAAAACUCAAGAAACAAAAGCCAAUAAGCUGCACUCCUGCUCUCAGUGUGGAAAGAGUUUCCAAAAGAAAGGAAACCUUAAGAGACACAUGAGAAUUCACACUGGAGAGAAACCGUAUCCAUGCACUCAGUGUGAGAAGAGUUUUACUCAAGCAUCAACUCUCAGUAAACAUCUGCGCCGU